AUCCACUAGCUCACUAGUGGGCUGCCGAAAAUACUGUAGAACUAGGGAGUGGGAGAGGUAGACGGUAUUCGGUAGGAAGGGGUAAAAUCCUUUGAUCUACUGAGGACCACCUGUGGCGAAGGCGGUCUACCAGAACACGUUCGACGGUGAGGGAUGAAAGCUGGGGGAGCAAACCGGAUUAGAUACCCGGGUAGUCCCAGCUGUAAACGAUGCAGACUCGGUGAUGCGCUGGCUUGUGGCCAGUGCAGUGCCGCAGGGAAGCCGUUAAGUUUGCCGCCUGGGAAGUACGUACGCAAGUAUGAAACUUAAAGGAAUUGGCGGGGGAGCACCACAAGGGGUGAAGCCUGCGGUUCAAUUGGAGUCAACGCCAGAAAUCUUACCCGAAGAGACAGCAGAAUGAAGGUCAAGCUGGAGACUUUACCAGACAAGCUGAGAAGUGGUGCAUGGCCGUCGCCAGCUCGUGCCGUGAGAUGUCCUGUUAAGUCAGGUAACGAGCGAGAUCCCUGCCUCUAGUUGCCACCAUUACUCUCAGGAGUAGUGGGGCGAAUUAGCGGGACCGCCGCAGUUAAUGCGGAGGAAGGAAGGGGCCACGGCAGGUCAGUAUGCCCCGAA
rnacentral:rRNA from 1 species